UUAGAGAAAUGUUACGGAUUAUGAGCCCAAAUGUGUACGGGCAUACUUUAAGCUGUUAUGGUAAAACGUCGGAAAAAAAGUUUUAAGUUUAAUUGUCGCGCGAAGAAUUAGAGGAUAUACUAUGAAUAAAAUGCAAUUAUUAAGGCCUAAACGCCGCUAAGAAUCCUGUGAACUACUGCUGUGAAGCCGCUGGGUUAAAGGCAACUCCACAUGACGCGUGACAAAUAUCAGUUUCCAAUGUAAAUAUCUCAGAUUUUCAAAUUUAAACAACUUUAAGAAACAGAUUA